CUGACAUUAAAAGCCAAGGGCUUUUCUUGAACUGAGAAAAGUUUCAUUGAAAGCUGGAAUCAUCUUUAGACUCACAGAAUGGUUUAGGUUGGAAAGGACCUCUGGAAGUCAUCUGGUCCAAACUCCUGCUCAAGCAUGGCCACCCAGCAGGCUACCCAGGAUCAUGUCCAAAGUAUAUACUCUUAUGUUUGGAUGUUCAGUAAGGAAAUCUCAGGCUUAAGAAGAGUAUUGUGACAAAGAUGUAGUUCAGCACUUUUCCAGUAACAAAGGAAACAUGAGCAGUACACACAUAUCAGAUACUUCAGUCUCGUGAGAAGCGGUUUCUGCACGGUUUCCUGGACAGGAUCAAGAACCACUGGAAAUAUUCAGAUAAUUUACUGGAAAUCAUGAAAGCAGACUGUCUGGCAGGUUCUGUUUUGAAUAAACUUUGGAUUGAAAGUGAACUUUUUGGGUGGUGACAUGCUCUUCUGACAACCAGCUCUGUGGCCACUGUCACAUCCCACCAGGACGCUGAAACCGAGUCACUGUGAGG
rnacentral:lncRNA from 1 species